GACAGAGGGGGCGAGCGUUGUCCGGAAUGACUGGGCGUACAGCGCGCGCAGGCGGGUAUGGACGUGCCGUGUGACAGCGCGGGGCUCAACCCCGCGUCGCCACGGUAGACGCCAUGCCUGGAGUGGGUGAGAGGGAUGUGGAAUGCCCGGUGGAGCGGUGAAAUGCGUAGAGAUCGGGCGGAACACCAGUGGCGUAAGCGGCAUCCUGGCACCAAACUGACGCUGAGGCGCGAGAGCGUGGGGAGCAAACGGG
rnacentral:rRNA from 1 species